UUGGGUGACCAGCGGAGGGAUCAUUACCGAGUUUACAACUCCCAAACCCAAUGUGAACCAUACCAAACUGUUGCCUCGGCGGGGUCACGCCCCGGGUGCGUCGCAGCCCCGGAACCAGGCGCCCGCCGGAGGGACCAACCAAACUCUUUACUGUAGUCCCCUCGCGGACGUUAUUUCUUACAGCUCUGAGCAAAAAAUUCAAAAUGAAUCAAAACUUUCAACAACGGAUCUCUUGGUUCUGGCAUCGAUGAAGAACGCAGCGAAAUGCGAUAAGUAAUGUGAAUUGCAGAAUUCAGUGAAUCAUCGAAUCUUUGAACGCACAUUGCGCCCGCCAGUAUUCUGGCGGGCAUGCCUGUCCGAGCGUCAUUUCAACCCUCGAACCCCUCCGGGGGGUCGGCGUUGGGGAUCGGGAACCCCUCAGACGGGAUCCCGGCCCCGAAAUACAGUGGCGGUCUCGCCGCAGCCUCUCCUGCGCAGUAGUUUGCACAACUCGCACCGGGAGCGCGGCGCGUCCACGUCCGUAAAACACCCAACUUUCUGAAAUGUUGACCUCGGAUCAGGUAGGAAUACCCGCUGAACUUAAGCAUAUCAAUAAAG
rnacentral:rRNA from 1 species